UUAGACUACCUGAGACUGGGUGGAAGAAACACGACGACGUCUCAAACGUCGUCGUGUUUCUUUCACCUAGUCUCAGGUGGUCUAA
rnacentral:pre_miRNA from 1 species